rnacentral:rRNA from 1 species
GACAGGUGGUGCAUGGUUGUCGUCAGCUCGUGUCGUGAGAUGUUGGGUUAAGUCCCGCAACGAGCGCAACCUUAUCGUUAGUUGCUACCAUUAGGUUGAGCACUCUAGCGAGACUGCCCGGGUUAACCGGGAGGAAGGUGGGGAUGACGUCAAAUCAUCAUGCCCCUUAUGUCUAGGGCUACACACGUGCUACAAUGGUGAGGACAAAGAGACGCAAGACCGCGAGGUGGAGCAAAUCUCACAAACCUCAUCCCAGUUCGGAUUGCAGGCUGAAACUCGCCUGCAUGAAGCCGGAGUUGCUAGUAAUCGCGAAUCAGCAUGUCGCGGUGAAUACGUUCCCGGGCCUU